UGUCCUUAGUUGCCAGCGCGUAAUGGCGGGAACUCUAGGGAGACUGCCGGUGAAAACCGGUGGUUGGCGGGGAUGACGUCAAGUCAUCAUGGCCCUUACGGGUAGGGCUACACACGUGCUACAAUGGUCGGUACAGAGGGUUGCGAAGCCGCGAGGUGGAGCUAAUCUCACAAAACCGAUCGUAGUCCGGAUUGGAGUCUGCAACUCGACUCCAUGAAGUCGGAAUCGCUAGUAAUCGCAGAUCAGAAUUGCUGCGGUGAAUACGUUC
rnacentral:rRNA from 1 species